UGCUUCUGCAUGCAAGCGGACAGAUGGGAGCUUGCUCCCUGAUGUUAGCGGCGGACGGGUGAGUAACACGUGGGUAACCUGCCUGUAAGACUGGGAUAACUCCGGGAAACCGGGGCUAAUACCGGAUGGUUGUUUGAACCGCAUGGUUCAAACAUAAAAGGUGGCUUCGGCUACCACUUACAGAUGGACCCGCGGCGCAUUAGCUAGUUGGUGAGGUAACGGCUCACCAAGGCNACGAUGCGUAGCCGACCUGAGAGGGUGAUCGGCCACACUGGGACUGAGACACGGCCCAGACUCCUACGGGAGGCAGCAGUAGGGAAUCUUCCGCAAUGGACGAAAGUCUGACGGAGCAACGCCGCGUGAGUGAUGAAGGUUUUCGGAUCGUAAAGCUCUGUUGUUAGGGAAGAACAAGUACCGUUCGAAUAGGGCGGUACCUUGACGGUACCUAACCAGAAAGCCACGGCUAACUACGUGCCAGCANCCGCGGUAAUAC
rnacentral:rRNA from 1 species